rnacentral:rRNA from 1 species
UGACUGCGUACCUUUUGUAUAAUGGGUCAGCGACUUAUAUUCUGUAGCAAGGUUAACCGUAUAGGGGAGCCGCAGGGAAACCGAGUCUUAAUUGGGCGUUAAGUUGCAGGGUAUAGACCCGAAACCCGGUGAUCUAGCCAUGGGCAGGUUGAAGGUUGGGUAACACUAACUGGAGGACCGAACCGACUAAUGUUGAAAAAUUAGCGGAUGACCUGUGGCUGGGGGUGAAAGGCCAAUCAAACCGGGAGAUAGCUGGUUCUCCCCGAAAGCUAUUUAGGUAGCGCCUCGUGAAUUCAUCUCCGGGGGUAGAGCACUGUUUCGGCUAGGGGGCCAUCCCGGCUUACCAACCCGAUGCAAACUGCGAAUACCGGAGAAUGUUAUCACGGGAGACACACGGCGGGUGCUAACGUCCGUCGUGAAGAGGGAAACAACCCAGACCGCCAGCUAAGGUCCCAAAGUCAUGGUUAAGUGGGAAACGAUGUGGGAAGGCCCAGACAGCCAGGAUGUUGGCUUAGAAGCAGCCAUCAUUUAAAGAAAGCGUAAUAGCUCACUGGUCGAGUCGGCCUGCGCGGAAGAUGUAACGGGGCUAAACCAUGCACCGAAGCUGCGGCAGCGACGCUGAUGCGUUGUUGGGUAGGGGAGCGUUCUGUAAGCCUGUGAAGGUGGCCUGUGAGGGUUGCUGGAGGUAUCAGAAGUGCGAAUGCUGACAUAAGUAACGAUAAAGCGGGUGAAAAGCCCGCUCGCCGGAAGACCAAGGGUUCCUGUCCAACGUUAAUCGGGGCAGGGUGAGUCGACCCCUAAGGCGAGGCCGAAAGGCGUAGUCGAUGGGAAACGGGUUAAUAUUCCCGUACUUGGUGUUACUGCGAAGGGGGGACGGAGAAGGCUAUGUUGGCCGGGCGACGGUUGUCCCGGUUUAAGCGUGUAGGCGGGUGUUCCAGGUAAAUCCGGAACGCUGUUAACGCUGAGGCGUGAUGACGAGGCACUACGGUGCUGAAGCAACAAAUGCCCUGCUUCCAGGAAAAGCCUCUAAGCAUCAGGUAACAUCAAAUCGUACCCCAAACCGACACAGGUGGUCAGGUAGAGAAUACCAAGGCGCUUGAGAGAACUCGGGUGAAGGAACUAGGCAAAAUGGUGCCGUAACUUCGGGAGAAGGCACGCUGACACGUAGGUGAAGUGAUUUACUCAUGGAGCUGAAGUCAGUCGAAGAUACCAGCUGGCUGCAACUGUUUAUUAAAAACACAGCACUGUGCAAACACGAAAGUGGACGUAUACGGUGUGACGCCUGCCCGGUGCCGGAAGGUUAAUUGAUGGGGUCAGCGCAAGCGAAGCUCCUGAUCGAAGCCCCGGUAAACGGCGGCCGUAACUAUAACGGUCCUAAGGUAGCGAAAUUCCUUGUCGGGUAAGUUCCGACCUGCACGAAUGGCGUAAUGAUGGCCAGGCUGUCUCCACCCGAGACUCAGUGAAAUUGAACUCGCUGUGAAGAUGCAGUGUACCCGCGGCAAGACGGAAAGACCCCGUGAACCUUUACUAUAGCUUGACACUGAACAUUGAGCCUUGAUGUGUAG